rnacentral:rRNA from 1 species
ACUCAAAGGAAUUGACGGGGGCCCGCACAAGCAGCGGAGCGUGUGGUUUAAUUCGAGGCUACGCGAAGAACCUUACCUAGGCUUGACAUGGACGUAGUAGGGAACUGAAAAGGGACCGACCUUCGGGAGCGUCCACAGGUGCUGCAUGGCUGUCGUCAGCUCGUGUCGUGAGAUGUUCGGUUAAGUCCGAAAACGAGCGCAACCCUCGGGGCUAGUUACAAGUGUCUAGCGCGACUGCCCGUGAGAAACGGGAGGAAGGUGGGGAUGACGUCAAGUCCGCAUGGCCUUUAUGCCUAGGGCUACACACACGCUACAAUGGACGGCACAGAUGGGAGCGAACCUGCGAGGGGGAGCGGAUCCGCGAAAGCCGUUCGUAGUUCGGAUUGCAGGCUGCAACCCGCCUGCAUGAAGCUGGAGUUGCUAGUAACCGCAGGUCAGCCACACUGCGGUGAAUACGUUCCCGGGCCUUGUACACACCGCCCGU